rnacentral:lncRNA from 1 species
CAGACCAAACCACCCCAAAUACCACAGCUGCAUCCUGACAUGGGGAUGAGGGGCAAGCCUAGACACAGCCUUAGGCUUGACAAACUGUCCUUCCAGAGAGAACCCCCUCACUACCCAGUGUGGAUCUCAUCGAUUGCAAUCAAAGACCAAGGGGAACAGCCAAAUCACUCAAGGGGCGCCAUCACCCCAGCUUUGAUGGGCUUCAGGACAGCAUCGGUGCCUGCACUAUGAACAACACCCUCCCUGGAUUCUGACCCUGGCUGGCAGCGGGUUCAAGGAAGCCAGUUUCAAGGUCUCUGUCAUCCCAAUACUUAGGAAUGUGGGGCAGGAAGAAGGCCCUGAGUCUAGGGCCAACCUAGGCUACCCAAGUAAGAGCCUGCCUCAGAGGGUUAAGAACAGAACCAAAGGGCAAGCUGAAUGGAGAUCUGAUGAACAGACGCUGUUAGAUACAUGUUUAAUGGGAAGGGAGGAGACCUUAAGAGAGACCCGAAUAGAGAAUGUUCACAGUGAUCAGGAUCACAACACGCUUCCCUGAACCUUCAAGCACACUUCUAAAAAAGAGGUUACAGGACAGCAAUGGAGAACGACAGCUAGGAGUAUACAGGAGUCCAAUCUUACAAGCAGGAGGGAUCUGACUGUUGUCAACCAGGUGCUAGAGCUCUGGGCUUCCAGGAAAGGCCAAGACGUUCCCAGGGAGUGGCACCACACCAACGACCGCGUCCCAUCCCGUCUGGCACACUACCCUCCAUUUCUUCAUUCUUGGAGUCUAGAGCAGGAACAGCAGCAUGUGACCGAGAGCCUCCAGCUAAGAUGGCAGCCCAUGUCACAUGGGACCUGUGAGAGCUUAAAAGCACACUGAAGUGGAGGUGACACCCAGGUCUAUCACUCCACAUACCAGGACAAGCUUAGACCUUGCUACGGGCUGCUGAGCAGAGGAUGUUGGGAGGUCGGGGAUCCCCGCUACUUCGGUUUAGAGGUGGUGAACAAUCCUUAAAGGUUCAUGAAAGAAAGCUUAGUCCCCGGUGUGGCAAUGUUAGAAGGCUGUGGGACCUUUAAGAGGCAGGACUGGAUGAAUGGGAGGUGAUUAGAUAGUUCUCGAGGGACCCAUGAAUCUCACUGGCUUUCUGCCUGUUAUGUGAUCUCUUCUGCACCACUCCUGCCUUUGUGACAUCCCCUGCAUUAGGGGAUCCAAACCAGCUGCCUGGUCCUGGGCUCCCAGUCCCACAAACUGUGAGCUAAAGAAGCCUCUUAUAAGCUACACUGCCUCGGACGUCUUGUUACAGUAACAGAAGGGGUUCAAUCAGAGGCUCUAAGAGGGAGGUGGUCUUGAAGUGAAAUGACAAUGAACAAAGAAUAGGUACCAAGCAAGAUGUGCAGGUGGCAAUGGCAGCCCAGCACACAGGAGAGUCAACAGCCAAAAGGAAGCCAGGUGGGCUGCAGGCUGUGUGCAACGCCAGACAAUGCCAGAUAAAUUUUCCAAAGCAACCGUGACAAUUCACACUCAGAGGAGAAACCGAACAGUGAACGCUGAGUCACAGGAGCCCACGGUGAACCUUCCUAGGUUUGCAAUGUCCCCUUCACAGAACCAGCAAAGCCAUCACAAACCAGCAUUACAGAUUAAUGUGUGCAAGAACCAGGUCCUGACCAGGAGCUAACCGGGAGAGAUAGAUGCUGAGUGGUUAAGAGCACAGACAGCGGCUUAGAAGAUUCCAGUUACCAAAAUCUUCUUAAAGAGAACCAUUUAGACCAAGACUAGCAGCAGCUCAUCAGAGUGACAGGCGUCUACUCUCUGCAGAAACUCUGCUUUCAGAGCACCCCAACAUCCAGAGAGACGCCCAGCGAGCUGCUGUCUACUGAAAACUUGGUCUCAAGCCACUAGACCCCUGCAGCGUACACACUAUCACAGUAUCUAAUUACUUCCUCAAAAUGCCUGCACCCUGAACUAUU